GAGCUGUUCUGUCUGAUAUUUUUCUUGGUCUUCCAGAUCUUGCCUUAACUUCCACUGUUCCUGAUGCCAUUUCUUAAUUACAUUCCGAACAGAGGAUAUUGACAUCUGAAAACAUUUUGCUAUCUUCUUAUAGCCUUCUCCAGCUUUAUUAGGAACGAGCAAUAAACAGCAACAACAAUGAGAAAUUCUGAGGAACAAGUCACAGGAAACCACCAGCUACUAAAUCAUCUAUUAUCCAGGUUACAUCACAGGGGCCAGCAAUGAGAACACUGUAGACGACAAGACGGACCCCUCAUGAAUUUCUACAUAUUUUGCUUUUCUUGUAUCUAUACAAGGACCGGCCGGAAUGACACGUUGGACAUAUUUGUAGGCAGAAUAUUG